GGGCCCGUAGCUUAGCCAGGAUAGAGCGCCGGCCUCCGGAGCCGAAGGACCCGGGUUCAAAUCCCGGCGGGCCCU
rnacentral:tRNA from 1 species